GUUUGGCUGACUCUCUCGGCGUCGAAUUUUGUGAAGUCAUUUCGAGGCGAAAAUGGGAUUCAUCACCUCUGCCGCGGGCAUCCUAGCCCUCUUGGAUGAGAAUGAAGAUCAGUUACGAGUGUUUGCAUUGGAGAGACUCAAUGAGAUAACAGAUACUUUCUGGCCAGAAAUUGCAGACUCUAUCCAGAAAAUAAAAACUUGGGAAGAAAAUGGCGAAUUUCCAAACGAGAGUUGGGCUCUUGUGUACCAAAGUUUUUUUUUUCAUUUAGGAUCUUUUUUAGACUCCCUCACAUAUGCAUUGAAAUCAGGUCCAAUGCUGCAUCAGGGGUAGGAACCAGCUCUACAUGAAAACAAUCCCCAAAAGGGGAGUUUUUUCAUGCCAUUUGACCUUACAUCAGCUGAGGGCAACAAAAAGUGCAAAGUGGAGCAGAUUAGAAGAGCUGCUCAACAACUGUCAAACGUUGCAUCACCUACCAGCAGGUACCGCCACGCCGAUUGGCAUGCGCUAUAAACUCACCGCAUGGAUUGUUCCGAGAGGCUUCAUGACUCUGAUGAUAUUGUUGGAAGUCUAACAUCUCCUACAAGAUUGCCAUGCAGUACAUUGAGCAGCGUAAUCCGUGAUGAGUUCUAGAGGAGCUUGUCUCUCCUGUAACCAGCCGGCUUAAAACCUCUGAUUACGAAAAUGUGUCAGUGCUUGGAUUCACCUGGACAAGCCCCAUGAGUUGCUUCACAUUCUGACCAAAACUGAUCAAAACGACAGUCUAAAGAGUGAGGCAAUGGAUAAUGAUUUAAUGCCUCAGAUGGGCUUUACUGUAUGAAAACGCACACCAAGAUCGCCUUUCCCAUGUUCCGCCAGGCCUGUUCGAACCACUCUCCUGUGCCCUCACCUUCAUGAGGAUGUUUGAUGCUGUACCUAGUACCUCACAACCUCAGCAAGCACCAGCAGAGGUUCUACCUCAGUACUAAUGAUGAUGAGGAAAUGGCUAACCCCACAAACAGGAAGAAGAGAAUGCCGCUACGCCAUGAGUGAAGAGAUACAUUGGAUGAUUUGACUGAAUUGGAGAAGACUCACCACCAGACCGUGUUGCAAAUCUAGCAAGAAUUCUUAGUGGGGAGAUGACCAUUGAGCAACACCUUCAGUUUCUAUUGCCAAUAACCACACUGAUAUUCUGAUAUUACGACAUAACAAAAGCCUUGUGAGAGCUUCUGUAAUCUCCCACUGCAACUGUUAUUGCAAAUGCAUUUAAGCCUUGUGGAAAAACUUCUGAACCGCAAUUUUUUUAAGAUAACUUGGAGUGGCUUUCACGUGCAACAAAUUGGGCCAAGAUGACUGCCACAGCAUCUCUUGGUGUUAUUCACCGCGGGCAUGAAAAGGAGGCUCUUACCCUAAUGCAGGCAUACCUGCCCAAAGAGUCUAACAGCCCUGGCUAUGCUGAGAGUGGGUCCCUGUAUGCACUCGGACUUAUUCAUGCAAAUCAUGGUGCCAAUAUCAUUGAAUACUUGCUUAAUCAGACUAAGGAUGCUACGAGUGACAUUGUCCGGCAUGGUGGCUGUCUUGGACUUGGUCUCGCUGCCAUGGGAACGCAGCGCACAGAUGUUUAUGAACAGCUUAAGUAUUCUCUUUUCCAAGAUGAUGCUGUCACUGGAGAAGCUGCAGGUCUAGCCAUGGGCCUGGUAAUGUUAGGAUCGGCAAAUGAACAAGCUGUGUCAGAUAUGGUGAAUUAUGCGAGGGAUACACAACACGAAAAAAUUCUUCGGGGAUUAGCUCAGGGAAUUGCAUUAACCAUGUAUGGGCAACAGGAUCAGGCAGACCGACUCAUCACUGAACUUAGUGAAGAUAAGGAUGCUAUUUUGAGACGUGCAGCAAUGUACACUGUUGCAAUGGCAUACUGUGGCACUGCCUCAACACCUGCUAUGAAAAGGCUUCUUCAUGUAGCAGUCUCUGAUGUUGAUAACGAUGUCAGACGAGCAGCUGUAGAAGCUUUAGGUUUCUUGCUGUUCAGAUCACCAGAUCAGAUCCCUAGCAUGGUCUCCCUUUUGUCAGAAUCCUAUAACCCACAUGUGCGGUAUGGUGCUGCUAUGGCUCUUGGAGUUGCUUGUUCUGGCACUGGACAAAAGGAAUCGCUAGGAUUGUUGGAGCCACUUACAAAUGACCCAGUUAACUUUGUUCGCCAAGGAGCCCUUAUUGCAUCAGCUUUAGUUUUGAUACAGCAGACAGAAAGCACGUGUCCCAAAGUAAAAGAUUUCCGCCAGUUGUAUGCAAAGGUGAUUGGAGACAAGCAUGAAGACUCAAUCGCAAAGUUCGGAGCUAUUCUUGCCCAAGGCAUUAUUGAUGCAGGUGGCCGUAACAUGACCAUCUCUCUCCAAUCUCGCACUGGACACACAAGCAUGACAUCUGUUGUUGGCAUGUUUGUCUUCACACAGUUUUGGUAUUGGUUCCCAUUGGCCCAUUUCUUGUCAAUGGCCUUUACACCUACUUGUCUUAUUGGGCUGAACUCUGAACUGAAAAUGCCAAAAAUGCAGUUCCUCUCCAAUGCAAAGCCAUCCACCUAUGGAUACCCAGCACCUCUUGAAGAAAAGAAGAAAGAGGUUGCAGAAAAAGUAACUGCAGUUCUGUCCAUCACAGCAAAGGCUAAGAAAAAGGAUGAUGAAAGAAAGAAAAAGGAACAAAAGGAUGAGAAAAUGGAGGUCGAUGAGGAGAAGGAAAAGAAAGAAAAGGAAGAAAAAGAGAAAGAAGAAAAGGAGAAGGAGAAAAAGAAGGAAGAAGAGAAAAAGAAAGAAGAGCCCACCUUUGAUUUACUAAGCAACCCUGCCAGAGUAAUGAAAGCACAACUGAAGGUGAUGCGCAUGGCCGAAGGCUCCCGUUACACCCCAGUGAAAGAAUUGAACAUCGGUGGUAUCAUCCUGAUGAGAGACAUGAAACCAGAAGACAGUGAGGAGUUGGUGCAGCCUGUCCCAGCUCUGGGGCCAAAGACUGAAGAGGAAACCGAACCAGAUCCCCCAGAACCCUUCAGAUAUGUUGACGAGGAUUAAUUUCUUUAUGCUUGUUCUGUGAAGAAACGUGAAAUUAUUAAGGAAGCAUCCUUAGUGUUUUGAAGGAUUCUUGAGAAAAUAGGGAAUAUAGGUGACUGUUUAAUGUUCUUAUAUAUAGGUGUACCCAUGACUGAUUUUAAUUUAUUAUUUUUUUAUAAGGGGACAUUCAUAACUUUAUAUUCUUAGUUAUUAAGUAACGAUCAUCUGCUUUCAAAAGGCUUUUAAAGACUAAUUUUGAUGUUGACAUAAGCAUGAAAUCAGUCAUUUAUAAUAUAGUAUUGCACAGUCCCAGUUAUGCUACCUGUGAAGAUCUACAGAAUAAAAGUACAGUCUAAUGUAUGAUUGUUUCUUUGAAUAUUAAAGAAUAAUUGUUUUA